rnacentral:rRNA from 1 species
AUUGAACGCUGGCGGCAUGCCUUACACAUGCAAGUCGAACGGCAGCACGGGUGCUUGCACCUGGUGGCGAGUGGCGAACGGGUGAGUAAUACAUCGGAACAUGUCCUGUAGUGGGGGAUAGCCCGGCGAAAGCCGGAUUAAUACCUCAUACGAUCUACGGAUGAAAGCGGGGGACCUUCGGGCCUCGCGCUAUAGGGUUGGCCGAUGGCUGAUUAGCUAGUUGGUGGGGUAAAGGCCUACCAAGGCGACGAUCAGUAGCUGGUCUGAGAGGACGACCAGCCACACUGGGACUGAGACACGGCCCAGACUCCUACGGGAGGCAGCAGUGGGGAAUUUUGGACAAUGGGCGAAAGCCUGAUCCAGCAAUGCCGCGUGUGUGAAGAAGGCCUUCGGGUUGUAAAGCACUUUUGUCCGGAAAGAAAUCCUUGGCCCUAAUACGGUCGGGGGAUGACGGUACCGGAAGAAUAAGCACCGGCUAACUACGUG